GGGCCCGCACAAGCGGUGGAGCAUGUGGUUUAAUUCGAUGCAACGCGAAGAACCUUACCUACUCUUGACAUCCAGAGAACCUUUUAGAGAUAGAAGGGUGCCUUCGGGAACUCUGAGACAGGUGCUGCAUGGCUGUCGUCAGCUCGUGUUGUGAAAUGUUGGGUUAAGUCCCGCAACGAGCGCAACCCUUAUCCUUGUUUGCCAGCACUUCGGGUGGGAACUCCAGGGAGACUGCCGGUGAUAAACCGGAGGAAGGUGGGGACGACGUCAAGUCAUCAUGGCCCUUACGAGUAGGGCUACACACGUGCUACAAUGGCAUAUACAGAGGGCAGCCAACUUGCGAGAGUGAGCGAAUCCCAAAAAGUGCGUCGUAGUCCGGAUCGGAGUCUGCAACUCGACUCCGUGAAGUCGGAAUCGCUAGUAAUCGUGGAU
rnacentral:rRNA from 1 species